UAAAAAUUGCUGGAAGAAACCACGGGGGAAUUGUUUUGCUGCCUCCUGGUCCCUUCUCCCUGUUUAAUAAACCUCCCCAGGUAAAAAAAAAAAAACUGUCACA